rnacentral:rRNA from 1 species
AUUGAACGCUGGCGGCAGGCUUAACACAUGCAAGUCGAGCGGAGAUGAGGUGCUUGCACCUUAUCUUAGCGGCGGACGGGUGAGUAAUGCUUAGGAAUCUGCCUAUUAGUGGGGGACAACAUUCCGAAAGGGAUGCUAAUACCGCAUACGUCCUACGGGAGAAAGCAGGGGAUCUUCGGACCUUGCGCUAAUAGAUGAGCCUAAGUCGGAUUAGCUAGUUGGUGGGGUAAAGGCCUACCAAGGCGACGAUCUGUAGCGGGUCUGAGAGGAUGAUCCGCCACACUGGGACUGAGACACGGCCCAGACUCCUACGGGAGGCAGCAGUGGGGAAUAUUGGACAAUGGGGGGAACCCUGAUCCAGCCAUGCCGCGUGUGUGGAGAAGGCCUUAUGGUUGUAAAGCACUUUAAGCGAGGAGGAGGCUACUGAGACUAAUACUCUUGGAUAGUGGACGUUACUCGCAGAAUAAGCACCGGCUAACUCUGUGCCAGCCGCCGCAGUAACAC